CAGCAGCUUCAGCAGAAGGUCUUCCAUGGUCAACAGAGAUCCUAAAGAUCAAAUGUCUGAUAUUGGGAUGAUGUACCUUGCAAAUAAAGAUGCUAAAAAGGUUAAAA